AUGGCAAAAAGAAGUACUUCAGUUGUUCUAGCUGUCCUUGUUGUAGCAUUAUUUCUGAAUGGUUAUAAUGCUGCUGUGAGUGUAGAAAGAGAUAAUCAACCUGAGAAAGCAGGAGUAGACGGAAUGAUACAUUGCUUUCCUGCAAUAUGUGCUAAUAAUGCUAACUGUUCUGAAUUUUGUAUGGCAAAAGGCUACGCUAAAGGUGGUUGUUUAGGAGGCACAAUGUGUUGUUGCCCUGAUUAUGUUUAA